GGUCUUUUAGCUUAACGGCUAAGAGCAGCCGGAAUACUACCGGUCAGGCGCUGGUUCAACGCCAGCAAGGGCCACCA
rnacentral:tRNA from 5 species